rnacentral:rRNA from 1 species
ACUGUGUGUUGUUGGGUAGGGGAGCGUUCUGUAAGCCUGUGAAGGUGUGUCGUGAGGCAUGCUGGAGGUAUCAGAAGUGCGAAUGCUGACAUAAGUAACGAUAAAGCGGGUGAAAAGCCCGCUCGCCGGAAGACCAAGGGUUCCUGUCCAACGUUAAUCGGGGCAGGGUGAGUCGACCCCUAAGGCGAGGCCGAAAGGCGUAGUCGAUGGGAAACGGGUUAAUAUUCCCGUACUUGGUGUUACUGCGAAGGGGGGACGGAGAAGGCUAUGUUGGCCGGGCGACGGUUGUCCCGGUUUAAGCGUGUAGGUGUGUGUUCCAGGUAAAUCCGGUUCACUUUAACACUGAGGCGUGACGACGAGGCACUACGGUGCUGAAGCAACAAAUGCCCUGCUUCCAGGAAAAGCCUCUAAGCAUCAGGUAACAUCAAAUCGUACCCCAAACCGACACAGGUGGUCAGGUAGAGAAUACCAAGGCGCUUGAGAGAACUCGGGUGAAGGAACUAGGCAAAAUGGUGCCGUAACUUCGGGAGAAGGCACGCUGACACGUAGGUGAAGUGAUUUACUCAUGGAGCUGAAGUCAGUCGAAGAUACCAGCUGGCUGCAACUGUUUAUUAAAAACACAGCACUGUGCAAACACGAAAGUGGACGUAUACGGUGUGACGCCUGCCCGGUGCCGGAAGGUUAAUUGAUGGGGUCAGCGCAAGCGAAGCUCCUGAUCGAAGCCCCGGUAAACGGCGGCCGUAACUAUAACGGUCCUAAGGUAGCGAAAUUCCUUGUCGGGUAAGUUCCGACCUGCACGAAUGGCGUAAUGAUGGCCAGGCUGUCUCCACCCGAGACUCAGUGAAAUUGAACUCGCUGUGAAGAUGCAGUGUACCCGCGGCAAGACGGAAAGACCCCGUGAACCUUUACUAUAGCUUGACACUGAACAUUGAGCCUUGAUGUGUAGGAUAGGUGGGAGGCUUUGAAGUGUGGAC